rnacentral:lncRNA from 1 species
CAUUUAGUAACUUAUGAUUCCAAAUUGUUUUCCAGAACUGUUGGCCUGCUUUAUAACUCCAUCAACAAUGAAUCAGCGUGCCUGUCUUCCCACAGCAACUCCAACAUUUAAUUUUUCAAUUUAUGUAUUGAAAAAAUCUGACCUUGUGUUUAAAGAUGAUUAUUCCAACAUUGAAGCUAUGAAACUGUGCCUGUAUUGCCCUCAAAACAAGCCACUGAACCAAGUUUUGGACUCCAUCAUUCAAAGGGACAGGCACAUUUCAGAAAUGAAGAAGCCAGUGCCCCAAAGUACACAGGAAAGGGGCAGAGAAAGGAGAGGAGCCCUGAAUGUAAAUUUCCUGCUUCACAAGUUUGCUGAGAGUCGGCCCUCAACAUCACCUCCAAAUUGUUUCAAACAUCUGCAGCUUAAUACGAGUUCAGACACAAGAGCUCAAAUGGUGUGGGCCAAGCAGAAAAAACUGUUUUUCAACCUCGAGUUCGGGGCCAAGCUGUAGCACUUUGCCCCCUUGUAAAUGGGCCAUAUUACCCAUUAAUUCCCAUUUGUUGUCUGGGAAACUUGCAGCCACUCAUACCAAAUUCCAAGAGUUAGAAGGAGAAAGGGUUGGUAGUGGUUGUUUAGUUUCUAGUUGGGAUGUCCUUGUUCAAAUCUCACCUCUUCUGUGCACAAACGUCCCCUGUCUGGGCUUCAGUUUCUUGAUCUGUGAAAAGAGGGGCUCAUUCAAGAUCACCAGUGAGGACCCUUCCUGCUCUAAAUGGAUGAUCCUCUGAGAAGCUAAGUCGGGCUUCUCCAUCUGCUUGUCAGCAAUCUUACCCCAACUGGAGCCCCUCUGCCCCCUUCCCAUCUCCCUUUAAGUGACUAGUAGGAAGAGCCUUGUUGGCUUAUAUUUGUGUUGCCAGGAGUUAGCACAGUGCCCAGCUCUUUAAUAAGAGAUUAAAAAAUUAUCUCUCCUUUUCCCCUCUCUCCUGUCUCUCUUCUCCCUAUCCCCUACCCUCAAAGUAUAAGCAAUAGCCUACAGUUAGGUUGCCUUUGAGGAGCAACGUGGAAUAGUAGGUAGAGUGGCCUUGGAGCCAGGAAAAAUGGAAUAGAUGGUGUCAAAUAAAAUCUCAUCCAGUGAAGAUCA